UUGAAAAUGUUUAAAUGUAACUUUUACUUGAUUGUCGUUUUCGAUCUGCGUUUUAGGCUUACAAAAGAUAGAAUACAAGGAAUCACGGCGCUACUUUUGUCAGUCCAAGUAAACUUGCAAAAGAACAACAAUCGACGCAAGUGUUUCAGUCCAGCCAUGCACAAGUAACACAAGUGACGUAUAUGUGCUGCCGAAGCAAGCACGAGCUGGGAGUCUGGAGGACGGCUAUAUAUACCAGUGACUUCUGGGCAUGCGCAGAUCCCCCCUGCCUUGGAUAAGAGCACAAAACACUCCGACAAAAGGAAGCUGCUCUCACUAGAGCAGAGCCCAUGAAAACCCAGACAGACACGUGGAGGGUAAGAAUACUCUAAAUCUUGGAGACAUGAAAAACUGAGUUCACAGCCGGCGUUGAACUCAAAGCUCUCAGCAGAACAAAGAUCAAACAUUCAAACUGACGUCGAGAACAAAGCCUGCCUGUCAUGCAGCUACAUGUGCUAUGUAGCAUUCUCCUGGAUAUCGUAGUUGUGAAAUUUGUUUUUAUGUUUUAAAAAGGACUAUAAAAGUCAUUAGUUGCACAGAGAUUAGUUUGUUAUGUCUUAACUAUAGCUUCAUAGAAUCUUGCUAAUAAUCUGACUUUAAGUUUUUGCUUACAGCAUUUAUCCACAAAGCUUAAAUGGAUAGUUUACAGGAAAAUAAAAGUGGCUCAGAAAA
ensembl:processed_transcript